UGCCAAUUUUCUCCGCGGUGAUA
rnacentral:miRNA from 14 species